AUUGAACGCUGGCGGCAGGCCUAACACAUGCAAGUCGAACGAGUGGCGGACGGGUGAGUAAUGUCUGGGAAACUGCCUGAUGGAGGGGGAUAACUACUGGAAACGGUAGCUAAUACCGCAUACCAUCGGAUGUGCCCAGAUGGGAUUAGCUAGUAGGUGGGGGAAAGGCUCACCUAGGCGAAGAUCCCUAGCUGGUCUGAGAGGAUGACCAGCCAGGCUGGAACUGGGACACGGUCCAGACUCCUACGGUAGGCAGGAGUGGGGAAUAUGGCACAAUGGGGGCAAGCCUGAUGCAGCCAUGCCGCGGGUAUGAAGAAGGCCUUCGGGUUGUAAAGUACUUUCAGCGGGGAGGCGUUACCCGCAGAAGAAGCACCGGCUAACUCCGUGCCAGCAGCCGCGGUAAUAC
rnacentral:rRNA from 1 species